rnacentral:rRNA from 1 species
GACGAACGCUGGCGGCGUGCUUAACACAUGCCAGUCGAACGGAAAGGCCCUGCUUUUGUGGGGUGCUCGAGUGGCGAACGGGUGAGUAACACGUGAGUAACCUGCCCUUGACUUUGGGAUAACUUCAGGAAACUGGGGCUAAUACCGGAUAGGAGCUCCUGCUGCAUGGUGGGGGUUGGAAAGUUUCGGCGGUUGGGGAUGGACUCGCGGCUUAUCAGCUUGUUGGUGGGGUAGUGGCUUACCAAGGCUUUGACGGGUAGCCGGCCUGAGAGGGUGACCGGCAAAAUUGGGAAUGAGAGACGGCCCAGACGCCUACGGGAGGAAGCAGGGGGGAAGAUUGAACAAUGGGCGGAAGCCUGAUGCAGCAACGCCGCGUGGGGGAUGAAGGCCUUCGGGUUGUAAACAGAUUUCGGCGGUGAAGAAGAGUGAGUGAAGGUAAUGGGUAAAGAAGCACCGGCUAACUACGUG